rnacentral:rRNA from 1 species
AUUGAACGCUGGCGGCAGGCCUAACACAUGCAAGUCGAACGAGUGGCGGACGGGAGAGUAAUGCUUGGGAAUCGAGCUUAUGGAGGGGGAUAACUACGGGAAACUGUAGCUAACACCGCGCACCAGAGGAUGAGCCCAAGUGGGAUUAGGUAGUUGGUGAGGUAAAGGCACACCAAGCCGACGAUCUAGAGCUGGUCUGAGAGGAUGACCAGCCACACUGGGACUGAGACACGGCCCAGACUCCUACGGGAGGCAGCAGUGGGGAAUAUUGCGCAAUGGGGGCAACCUGACGCAGCCAUGCCGCGUGAAUGAAGAAGGCCUUCGGGUUGUAAAGUUCUUUCGGUAGCGAGGCGUUACCUACAGAAGAAGCACCGGCUAACUCCGUGCCAGCAGCCGCGGUAAUUC